rnacentral:rRNA from 1 species
UGAAACUUCGGUCGAUUUAAUUUAUUUCUAGUGGCGGACGGGUGAGUAACGCGUGGGUAACCUGCCUUAUACUGGGGGAUAACAGCCAGAAAUGACUGCUAAUACCGCAUAAGCGCACAGAACCGCGUGGUUCGGUGUGAAAAACUCCGGUGGUAUAAGAUGGACCCGCGUUGGAUUAGCUGGUUGGCAGGGCAGCGGCCUACCAAGGCGACGAUCCAUAGCCGGCCUGAGAGGGUGAACGGCCACAUUGGGACUGAGACACGGCCCAGACUCCUACGGGAGGCAGCAGUGGGGAAUAUUGCACAAUGGGGGAAACCCUGAUGCAGCGACGCCGCGUGAAGGAAGAAGUAUCUCGGUAUGUAAACUUCUAUCAGCAGGGAAGAUAAUGACGGUACCUGACUAAGAAGCCCCGGCUAACUACGUGCCAGCAGCCGCGGUAAUACGUAGGGGGCAAGCGUUAUCCGGAUUUACUGGGUGUAAAGGGAGCGCAGACGGCACUGCAAGUCUGAAGUGAAAGCCCGGGGCUCAACCCCGGGACUGCCUUUGGAAACUGUAGAGCUAGAGUGCUGGAGAGGCAAGCGGAAUUCCUAGUGUAGCGGUGAAAUGCGUAGAUAUUAGGAAGAACACCAGUGGCGAAGGCGGCUUGCUGGACAGU